rnacentral:ncRNA from 2 species
GGGUUAAAUUAUUUCUGAGGUUCGAAUAGUGAUCAGCUAUUUGAAGUAAUGGGGAAAAGUGGUGCGAAUCCGCUGCUGUCCCGCAACUGUGAUGUAUCGAUCUUCUUCGAUACCAGUCAGAAUGCCCGCCUUAUUUACUAUUCGACG